AUACGGAGGGUGCAAGCGUUACGCGGAAUCACUGGGCGUAAAGCGCGCGCAGGCGGCUUGAUAAGUUGGAUGUGAAAGCCUACGGCUCAACCGUAGAACUGCAUCCAAAACUGUCAAGCUAGAGUCUGGGAGGGGAAGAUGGAAUUAGUUGUGUAGGGGUAAAAUCCGUAGAGAUAACUAGGAAUACCAAAAGCGAAGGCGAUCUUCUGGAACAGUACUGACGCUGAGGCGCGAAAGCGUGGGGAGCAAACAGGAUUAGAAACCCUAGUAGUCC
rnacentral:rRNA from 1 species